rnacentral:misc_RNA from 1 species
UGUUGGCUCUCAGAGGUCGGGU